AUACUUACCUGCCAGGGGAGAUACCGUGAUCAUGAAAGUGGUUUUCCCAGGGCAAGGCUUAUCCAGCGCUCUACAGAUGUGCUGACCCCUGCAAUUUCCCCAAAUGUGGGAAACUCAACUGCAUAAUUUGUGGUCGUGGGGGGCUGCGUUCGCGCUCUCCCCUG
ensembl:snRNA U1 U1 spliceosomal RNA